GAUGAACGCUAGCGGCAGGCCUAAUACAUGCAAGUCGAACGGUGUCUUCGGACAUAGUGGCGCACGGGUGCGUAACACGUAUGCAACCUACCUUACAUUGGGGGAUAGCCUUUCGAAAGGGAGAUUAAUACCGCAUAAGACAGUAGCUGGGCAUCCAGCAGCUGUUAAAGAUUUAUCGAUGUAAGCUGGGCAUGCGUCCAAUUAGCUAGUUGGUGAGGUAACGGCUCACCAAAGCAAUGAUUGGUAGGGGAACUGAGAGGUCAAUCCCCCACACUGGCACUGAGAUACGGGCCAGACUCCUACGGGAGGCAGCAGUAGGGAAUAUUGGGCAAUGGACGCAAGUCUGACCCAGCCAUGCCGCGUGCAGGAUGAAGGCGUUAUGCGUUGUAAACUGCUUUUAUACAGGAAGAAACGACUCUUGCGAGAGGCAUUGACGGUACUAUAUGAAUAAGCACCGGCUAACUCCGUGCCAGCCGCCGCAGUAAGAC
rnacentral:rRNA from 1 species